AAUUUUUCACAAUGGGGGAAACUCUGAUCCAGCCAUCCCGCGUGUGCGGUGAAGGUCNNNGGGUUNUCAAGCACUUUUGUCAGNGACNAAAUCGUACAGGCUAGUAUCCUGUUCGGAUGACGGUACCUGACGAAUAAGCACCGGCUAACUACGUUCCAGCAGCCGCGGUAAUACGUAGGGUGCAAGCGUUAAUCGGAAUUACUGGGCGUAAAGGGUGCGAAGGCGGUUUAUCAAGAAAGGUGUAAAAUCCCCGGGCUUAACCUGGGAAUGGCACUUUUAACUGAUAGGCUGGAGUAUGUCAGAGGGAGGUAGAAUUCCACGUGUAGCAGUGAAAGGCGUAGAGAUGUGGAGGAAUACCGAUGGCAAAGGCAGCCCCUGGGAUAAUACUGACGCUCAUGCACGAAAGCGUGGGGAGCAAACA
rnacentral:rRNA from 1 species